AACGAACGCUGGCGGCAUGCCUAACACGUGCAAGUCGAACGAGACCUUCGGGUCUAGUGGCGCACGGGUGCGUAACGCGUGGGAACCUGCCCUUAGGUUCGGAAUAACUCCCCGAAAGGGGUGCUAAUACCGGAUAAUGUCUUCGGACCAAAGAUUUAUCGCCUUUGGAUGGGCCCGCGUUGGAUUAGCUAGUUGGUAGGGUAAAAGCCUACCAAGGCGACGAUCCAUAGCUGGUCUGAGAGGAUGAUCAGCCACACUGGGACUGAGACACGGCCCAGACUCCUACGGGAGGCAGCAGUGGGGAAUAUUGGACAAUGGGCGAAAGCCUGAUCCAGCAAUGCCGCGUGAGUGAUGAAGGCCUUAGGGUUGUAAAGCUCUUUUACCCGGGAUGAUAAUGACAGUACCGGGAGAAUAAGCCCCGGCUAACUCCGUG
rnacentral:rRNA from 1 species